GGGUUUAGAACGUCGUGAGACAGUUCGGUCCCUAUCUGCCGUGGGCGCUGGAGAAUUGAGGGGGGCUGCUCCUAGUACGAGAGGACCGGAGUGGACGCAUCACUGGUGUUCGGGUUGUCAUGCCAAUGGCACUGCCCGGUAGCUAAAUGCGGAAGAGAUAAGUGCUGAAAGCAUCUAAGCACGAAACUUGCCCCGAGAUGAGUUCUCCCUGAGACUUUAAGUCUCCUGAAGGAACGUUAAAGACGAUGACGUUGAUAGGCCGGGUGUGUAAGCGCAGCGAUGCGUUGAGCUAACCGGUACUAAUGAACCGUGAGGCUUAACCUUACAACGCCGAAGCUGUU
rnacentral:rRNA from 1 species